rnacentral:rRNA from 1 species
UGGCGGCGUGGUUAAGACAUGCAAGUCGAACGAGAGAAUUGCUAGCUUGCUAAUAAUUCUCUAGUGGCGCACGGGUGAGUAACACGUGAGUAACCUGCCCCCAAGAGUGGGAUAGCCCCGGGAAACUGGGAUUAAUACCGCAUAAAAUCGCAAGAUUAAAGCAGCAAUGCGCUUGGGGAUGGGCUCGCGUCCUAUUAGUUAGUUGGUGAGGUAACGGCUCACCAAGGCGAUGACGGGUAGCCGGUCUGAGAGGAUGUCCGGCCACACUGGAACUGAGACACGGUCCAGACACCUACGGGUGGCAGCAGUCGAGAAUCAUUCACAAUGGGGGAAACCCUGAUGGUGCGACGCCGCGUGGGGGAAUGAAGGUCUUCGGAUUGUAAACCCCUGUCAUGUGGGAGCAAAUUAAAAAGAUAGUACCACAAGAGGAAGAGACGGCUAACUCUGUGCCAGCAGCCGCGGUAAUACAGAGGUCUCAAGCGUUGUUCGGAAUCACUGGGCGUAAAGCGUGCGUAGGCGGUUUCGUAAGUCGUGUGUGAAAGGCGGGGGCUCAACCCCCGGACUGCACAUGAUACUGCGAGACUAGAGUAAUGGAGGGGGAACCGGAAUUCACGGUGUAGCAA